GGAGGAGCUGAGGUCUGCUCCUGUCCCUGGAGCCAGAGUGCCUUUCAGUGACCCUCGUAAAUCUCACUGCAUAGGAGGUGCUGCUGAAUGUCCUUUUAAUCCUUUGGCUCAGCAGAGGACCCACGGCAAGAUUCCUCAAAUCAUUCUUAGAACUCACCUUUGCCAUUAAAUAGAUCUCUGAGUUUUAUCUGGGCACAAAGCUUCCCUGCCAAAGACAACAUGUGUCAACCACACUUGCAGCUAGGUGUGGCCAUGCAUUUCAGUUCCUCCAAUGGAAGCCUAGUAAAAAUGUACCUUUCAAGGACUUAUAACAAUAUUGGGCACCUAGUAUUCGUCGAAAAAUGCUUGCUGCACGGAUGCCUACCUCCACCUUCAAGUGCACACAUUUGUUGUGACCUUGGUACAGACCUCAGCAUCUCUGGAUUAUUGCAGUCCUCUCCAGCUGGUCUCUGGCUUCUACUGUCUCCUCCCUGAUUGGACUGGAUUAUUGCAAUCCUAUCAAGCUCAUCUCCGGCUUCUACCGUCUCCUCCCUGAUUGGACUGGAUUACUGCAAUCCUAUCAAGCUCAUCUCCGGCUUCUACUGUCUCCUCCCUGAUUGGACUGGAUUAUUGCAAUCCUAUCAAGCUCAUCUCCGGCUUCUACCGUCUCCUCCCCGAUUGGACUGGAUUAUUGCACUCUCUCCAGCUGGUCUCUGGCUUCUACCGUCUCCUUCCUGAUUGGAGUCCCCUGUCUCCCGGCUUGCGUGUACAAUACGUUCCUCACAGAGCGGCUGCAAUGAUUAUUUUGAAACAGAAGUUAGACCACGCCAGUGCUCUGCUCCAGACCUCCCAGUGUCUUCCCAUCUCAGCCAGCGUGAAAGCCAAGUCCUCGCACAGGCCGGCGAGGCUCUGUGGGACCUGACUCUGCAUGGCCGCCUCCAGCUCAGCUCCUGCUUCUCUCCUCUCACUCACUGCGCUCCGGCCACAGCGGCCGCCUGGCUAUUCCUCCAUCACAUCCUCCCAGGACCCAUGUUUCCUGUGCUUUGCCUGAAACUCUUGGCUCAGAUAUCUUCGUGGCUGCUUCUUCAAUUCCAUGAAGUUUUGGCUCACACACGAGCCUCCCAGAAAGACCUGUGCCCCAAGCCCCCUGUGAAAUGGGAACUGCCAUUCCCAAAUACCCUACACGCCUUUCACUGCUUUGGUCUUUUGGAUGUCUUAUAUAUUUUAUAUUAAUUUUAUGUUGCGUGUCUUAAACUGCUUGACUAUCUGUUUCUUUAAGUCAGAGGCUUUUAAUUUUUUGUUCACUGCUGUAUCCCUAACACCUAAAAUAGUUCUUGUCACUUAAUAAGGGCUGAAAGAUGUUUUUGAAUGAGUGCAUAAACAAAUAGAAAGACAUUCAUAGUGAUUUUCCCAUUUACUCCCCCCCCCGUUUUAACCAGUUCUUGUGGCUUUCUUCUUCUGAUAUUGUAACUCUAUUGUUUGUUGCCAAA